UGCAUCGGCUGGGAAUCGAACCCGGGACGCCCGCGUGGCAGGCGAGCAUCCUACCACUAAACCACCGAUGC
rnacentral:tRNA from 1 species